rnacentral:rRNA from 1 species
UACGGAGGGAGCUAGCGUUGUUCGGAAUUACUGGGCGUAAAGCGCGCGUAGGCGGCUUUGUAAGUUAGAGGUGAAAGCCCGGGGCUCAACCCCGGAACUGCCUUUAAGACUGCAUCGCUUGAAUCCGGGAGAGGUGAGUGGAAUUCCGAGUGUAGAGGUGAAAUUCGUAGAUAUUCGGAAGAACACCAGUGGCGAAGGCGGCUCACUGGACCGGUAUUGACGCUGAGACGCGAAAGCGUGGGGAGCAAACAGG